AUGAAAGGAACCAUCCACAUUUAGAGUCCUGGCUCUUUCUCAAAACAUAUUUGAGAUGGAAUGAUGCUAAAGAAGUACAAGGUUUGGAGUGAGUUGAGCUGGCCAUGCCCCAUACCAACCCAGGCAGAGCCAAGAGCGUCCAUCUGUCCAGAGCAACCAGGUGGGAAGAACUGGACGUGAAGAGGCUCUGUACCCACAAACUCCAUCUCCCGAUCUCAGCUCCAGGCAGCCACCAUUCUAUUUCCUGUCUCCAUGAGUGUGCCUACUCCAGGGGCCCCACUUUACUGCAGUCAGAGGAUGGAACUCAGGCCACCAGGCUUGGUGACAAGCAUCUCUGUCCCCUGAAUCAUUUUCACCUUUGGAGACCCCACCUUCGGCUUCCCAGCAUCUGUCUUUCCUUGUUCUUCAGAGUUGUGGGACCGUUCAGUUCAUACCCUAGUGUUUGCCUUUCUGACUUCAGCAACAACUUCCACUUCAAACUGA